GCCCAGGUGGCGAAAUUGGUAGACGCAGCAGGUUUAGGUCCUGCCGUCGUAAGGCGUGGAGGUUCGAGUCCUCUCCUGGGCACCA
rnacentral:tRNA from 1 species